GUCCCGUUGGUGUAAAGGACAGCACAAGAGUCUUCUAAACUUUUAGUUUGGGUUCAAUUCCCAAGCGGGAUACCA
rnacentral:tRNA from 4 species